CCUAUUUUUUUUAAACAAAGAAUGAAAAUUCCUGAAGAGAGCUGUUCGUUUUAAGCCUCAGUAAAGUGUCAUCCAAUUCUAUAUGCUUAAUGCCUUCUCUGUCUUCCUUUCUUCACCUAAGGUACGUCGAUUCUUUUAACAUUUCCUUUUAGGUUCAAUGCUCCAAUUCUUUAACUAAAUUUGUCUUUUCUCUGCAAUUUUUUCUAGGCCCUCUGUGUGUCUCAGGAUCUCAGAGCCUCCAAUUCUGGACAAAGUCACUAAAUGAGAGCUUGCCCCAACCCUUCAGAUCUGCUGGGACCUCGAGGAGAGGGUUACCCCCACUGCUUGUAGGACCCCCCAGUGGAUGAGCAGAUUCCUCAUAUCCUCAGCCCUCCAGCCAUCACCUGUCAUGGCUGAAUGUGAUUUGUCACCUCACCCCCAGCCUGCCCCGCCUCGGCUGAAGCAAGAACACGAGAGAGAGCCUGUGUGUGUGCUUACAUCCAGCACAGAACUAAGAUAAAUGUGGAACCCAUCGCUCCUCCAGCCGGUUGCGGGGUCAUGGCGCGCCCUCUGGUGGCCCGUCUAUGAGCAAGCUUGAAGGAACUACCCCCUGGAGUCUCAGGGGAUGAGACCGGGAGAAGACCAGAAACGAGGAACACACACGGCGUCCAUGCAUCAGCUGGAUGGUUGCCUCGCAUUACCCUGUUACUCCUCCCUACUCCCCACCAUCGAUGUUGCCAUGAAUACUUUACAAAUGCAGAAACUGAGACGCCAGGAAGAUCUGUGACUUGGGAAGUAGUUCUUAGUAGUCUGAGAACAUAAACUGAGAAGGUCCCAUGGACCCCGGAGGUUGGAGCUCCACCUCCACUAAUGCGAGCAGCGCGACUUUGGGCCAGGUACGUAGUCUCGCUGAACGUCCAUUUUGCCAUCGAUAAAAGGGAGGUGAUCACGAAUCAAUUAAGUGUUAAACUAGAAAUAAACAUAUCAGCAUCCAGAGAGAGGGGAGAUCAGGAAAUCGUGAGGAGGGCAUGCAAUUUGAACUGGCCCUUGAAGAAUGAGGUGAUGUAAAGAGGUGGAGAAGGGGAGAGAGAGUGAACGUGUGUGAGAGAAGUCUUGGGGGGAAGAAAAUGGAGAGUCUGCCUGUCCUAAUAUAAUAUGUACAUUGUAAUUCCUCUUCAUCAUCAAGGCUGGGAAUUCUAGAAGCCUUACAGAGUCUCUUCUCUUGAUAAAAACAAAUACUUCUGAACUCAUCAAACAGCGUUUUCUCUAAAGACUGGGAUAGGAGUCAAAGGACCCACGUAGGGUAUGUUCCAGAGUCGAGAGGACUGUUUCUUUUCAGUUCUCGUGUUCUCUCUAGAUUGUGUGCUUCCUUUGUCUAUCCCAUAGGGUUUGAUACUAAGUUGAAAAUCCGUGAGGCUCUAAAUAGAAACGUGAUUUGUAUAAAUUCUUGUGGAGAAGUGGACUGAUUUCAGCCUUUGUGAAACACCCGCCUGGCAAUGAAGACUGAACCAUGAACUUGGCACGGAAUUUGAAGGCUUGGUCCCCACCCUCAAAGAACGUUCAUCUCUAAAGAGAACAAAGCUCACAACAUCUCAUAACUGGGAGAUACUGUGGCAGAGAGAGCUGGGGAGGCGACAGUGCUCAGUUGUACUUGGUUGAACGAUGGUUUUGGAUGUGAUCAUGCUCCUCGCCUGAAUGAAGAUAAAAGAGAACCGCCUACGAGGACAGAUUCAGCAGAAGCGGGUGUUGAAAUACACAGGGGAAGCUUUGCCAGCUCAACAGAGACGGGCUGAAGGGAGGAAGGUGAGAAGGUAGACGCCCUAAUCACAAGAACAGCUAUAGGGAGAGCGUUUCCUGCUCGCUCCCUCUGUGCCCUGCACUCAGGACCAGACUUGCUGGUCCACACGGUUCCUCACGCUGUGAGGUGGGGGCUCUGAUCUUAUUCUCUGUUGCGGUGCCCCAGGCGUGGAGAGGUCAGGUGCCUGCCCAGGGUUACAGGACCCGAAAGUUCAGAGGCAGGACUUGGAUGCAGACUGGCCUGAUUUCAGAGUCUCCGCUCCUUCCACCACGCUGCCCCUGCUAGUCUCUAAUACAGGCUUCGCUGACACCAAACGUGUUGCACACCUGCUGUGGGCAGUGUGCAAAAUCCCCAGGGCAGGGUGGCGGCGGGGGGGGGGGCACGGAAAGAAAGAUCAAACCAAGUGUGCCUGUAAAAUAGUUCUGAACGUUCUCAAAAAAACGAUCAACUAUUUGUGCGGUCGCUAAUUGAUUGAGAAUAAGGGCUACCUCCCAAAGAGAAUCAUAAUCCAUCCUGGGGUGGAGACCCCAUCUGCUUCUUAUCCAGAGCGCUUUGCUCAGAAGCCUGCAUCUAGAAGGUGUCUUCGGGAUUCUAGAAGCCUUAAGCUGGUCAGUUCUCAUUUCAGGGUAGAUCAUAAUUACCUGUUUGAAAGCCAGAGAGGUGAGGGAUAGGAUCCAAACUUCUGUCCAGCUCUGGUUCGGUGAAAGUAGCCUUUCCAUCUUUCCUCCCUCUAAACUCCGGUGGUUUCCUCCUCCACGUGGCUCUCGGUACCCAGGGAAUGACAAUUCCUGGAAGCCUAGUGGUCAGGACCCAGGGUCUGGAUCAGGAGCUCUUAUUAUGAGAGUUUUCUUCACCAAAUCUAAUACCAUUUCCUGAGCAGAAAGAACAGAUAAUAGUACCCACAUUAUAAGGUUAUUGAAAAUAUUUAAAUGAGGUAAUUUCUAUAAGCCCAGUAGCUGGGAAAGAAUUAUAGGCUAUUAUGAAUAUUAUUAUUAUAUUUACACUUACCACUACUAUGUAGUUCCUGGUUGUCUUCUACCAACCUCACCCCCUGAUACACUUGUUUUCUGUUAAAGUCCAAUAUCCUAGAAAGAGCUUUUAAGGCCUUGGGUCAAGGUUAGUGAAAUCAGUGAACUGAAAACCACUAAAAAGUUCUAAGGCAAAUUGCACUCCUGGGUAUUUACCCCAAAGACACAGAUGUAGUGAAAAGAAGGGCCAUAUGCACCCCA